ensembl:snRNA U6 U6 spliceosomal RNA
GUGUUCAUUUCAGCAGCACAUAUACUAAAAUAGGAACGAUACAGAGAAGAUUAGCAUGACCCUUAUGCAAGAAUGACAUGUAAAUUCAUGAGGAAUUCCAUAAUUUU